UACGUAGGUGGCAAGCGUUGUCCGGAUUUACUGGGCGUAAAGAGCGCGCAGGCGGUCGUUCAAGUCGCGUGUGAAAGCCCCCGGCUCAACUGGGGAGGGUCACGCGAUACUGAUCGACUCGAAGGCAGGAGAGGGAAGUGGAAUUCCCGGUGUAGUGGUGAAAUGCGUAGAUAUCGGGAGGAACACCAGUGGCGAAGGCGGGUAGCUGGGCCAACACUGACGCUGAUGUGCGAAAGCUAGGGUAGCAAACGGG
rnacentral:rRNA from 1 species